rnacentral:rRNA from 1 species
CUUGCCGCAAGGGCUCGCCGAUCCCCAACACCAAACCCGGGGGCUUGAGGGUUGAAAUGACGCUCGAACAGGCAUGCCCGCCAGAAUACUGGCGGGCGCAAUGUGCGUUCAAAGAUUCGAUGAUUCACUGAAUUCUGCAAUUCACAUUACUUAUCGC